GGGUCAAUAAGGAGAACUCACAUGGUCUUGAAGAGAAAUGAUGACCUAAAUAUGCUCUUUAGGUUCAUGCUGAGUCCC